GUGAAUCAUCGAAUCUUUGAACGCACAUUGCGCCCGUUGGUAUUCCAACGGGCAUGCCUGUUCGAGCGUCAUUGGCCUCUCCAGCUGCUGCUGGGUGCUGGGCGUUUGUUCCGCCGCGUGCGCGAACUCGCCCCAAAUGCAUUGGCCGCCGGGGAUCCCGUCUAGGAGCGCAGCACAGUCCCGCGCCCCCCGACGGGAUCGCGGUGCCCAUCAAGCCGACACUGUACGCUUGACCUCGGAUCAGGUAGGGAUACCCGCUGAACUUAAGCAUAUCAAUAAGCGGAGGA
rnacentral:misc_RNA from 1 species